rnacentral:lncRNA from 1 species
GGACAUCAAUUUUUCCAAGCAGUUAUAUGAUGAGAUUAUGGUGGAGUGGGAUGGCUUUGCCUUUUAUGUGGAAGUGGUUUAUGAGCGAUUGCUGAAUUAUUACACCAAUUGCUUCUUCAUUGGGCAUUGUUGUUAAUUUGUAACAAAUUGCACCCAAAGAAGAAGAUCCAUGUUGUAGACAAAGGCAAGAAGAUAAUGGUGAGCUUUCAUGUUGAUAGGGGACGACAACCAAUAUAGGUCCCAAAUAAACCCACUUGGGUUAGUGCAUUGGUAUUGGCUUGGGACCUGGGAGUGUGCUCCUCUUGAGGUCUGAGGUUCGAUUCUCUCUGGCGCCAAUUUGGGUGGGCUAAUUUAGCUUCUUCAAAAAAAAAAUAUAGGUCCCAAAUAAAACCCCUCACGUUGAUAUCGCCGAAAAGAAUGCGGCUAGCCAAUAAGUAAGAGAAGGUUCAAGGGUGCGCCACUCAUGAAACAACCACUCGAUCUUGAUAUGGAACAUUAUUUUCUUAAGAAUGAGGCUGCCUUUUAAGAGAAGGUUCAAGGGAGCGUCAAGAGGAACCAUCGCUCGAAGGAAGAAACAAACUAAAUUGGUCAGAAAUGCUAAUAGUCAUUACAACACUCAUUCAAAGAGUGCUCCAUAUCCCUCACUCUCUAUGAAGCAUUUCCUUCAAUUUAGAUUCUCUUAACUUUUCUUUUUCUUUUCGUUCUUGUUUUUUCUUCUUCAUGGUUUUGACAUAGUAUCCCAUGUUGUAUAUACAUAUUUUUAAUGAAAGAAAUUGGGACCAACUUAGUUAAACCUUGCAAGUAAUGAAAGGUGGAAUGAUG